CAUAUUUUCUGCACUCUCAUCAGCCAAAAACGUCCUAAGGGUUUCUUCAAGCUGGUUUUUCAUAAUUUUUUCACCAAAUCCAGAAAGUUCAAAUAUGAAGCUAGAUCGAGGAAAAGAAAAAUUUCGGGAUUAGUAGAUUUUUUGUUUACGAACAAGUAUCGAGAGUUAAGAGCUCGGAGGUCGGAUUUGGUUAGAGACACAUCACACUAUCAACCUCAAGAUCUCGGUACAUAAAGAAACUUUAUUUUGGAAAUCAAUGGCAUGCAUAAGCUAGUAAAGUAGAUGUUAAUGUGGAAUGAAUGUAUGGUUAGCCAUUAAUAUGGCUAAAAAAUUUUGGUUUUGGUAUGUGAUAAGAUUAUCUUAUGAAUACGAUAAAUCUAUCUUGAAAAUAUUUUGAAAUGGAUUGGUUGUGUUGGAUUGGUCUCGGUUUUAAAAUUUUAGGGAAGAGUAGAUAUUUAUAAACGGGUUAUAUUGAGUUAAAAAAAAUUUAUUCAGUAAAAUCUGGUAAUACCUCGUAUCCUAUUCCGGCGACGGAUACGGGUAGGGGGUGUUAAACUUUCUUUAUAUAUGCAUCAAGCAUGCACACAUACUGUAUAUAAUAUUAAUCGUGUCAAAUUUGUGUGGCAAGUUGAAUAUAAUCCUAACUAUUUUGGGUUCAGAUUGUUACAACUAUAGGGCGUGACCUUGUAGAAUCAUGCAACAUUGGUAGCAAUAUUAAAACACUUCUAAUAUUACGACCAAUGAGUGCAUUUAGCAAUACACCACGGUUACCUAAGCUACAAGAAGUCAUGGUUCGAUAUAGUCUUUUCUGUGAUAAUAAUUAUGUAGUAUAUCUCUUUGUCCUUGAUAUCCAAAUUGAACACCAAUCAUGGAGUAGUCACACUUAUAUAGCCCAAUUUUUUGUUUCUUGACCCCGAGUAGACUAAAAGAAACAAAUGAGUUUGAUAUCUCAUAUCAACUAAUUUGAGUAUGGCCAUGCAAUUCUAGUCUCACUCGAUUAAGUGGCCUGUGAUUAACUAUUAUUAUGUAGGAGGGACAAAUUCAAUCUUGAUAAUUCACAUCUCACUAUAUAGAUUGUGGCUACCUAACAUUAAUGUCUUUAUCGUGCAUUCUGUUAGGACUGAAAAUACCAAGAGAGUGUGAAUUGGUAUUUUAAAAUUCUCUUCAAACUAUUCCAAAAUAAAAGAGAAAGGGAGAAUAGCUUGGAUAGUUCGAUUUGUAGUGGUUCAACGCCAAUUUCCUACCUCCUCUACCUUGGUAUACCUCAACUAAGGAACUUCCAAUUCACUAUAAGAAUUGAUACAUUUCAAGUAGAAGGUAUAACUUUCACAAAUCUACCUUUUUCUUAAGGCUUGGAUAGAACCAUUCCCCCUAGCUUUUAUGGCUAAACUAGAAUCAUUAUUAGUUUUUAUUGCUCAACUAAAAUCCUCCCAAUUUAUAAUUAGUGAUAUGAAGUAGAGUAAAUAAAGAGGCCUCUACAAUGUGUGUGUUUACAAAAAUUAAGCUCUUGAAGAAAUGAAAAGCGAGUGAUAAAGAUCUAACAAUAAGCUCUUAGAGAAUAUUUACAAGAGAAAUGAGAUAAUGAGGAUUUGAAGACUUUUCUCUUGUGUCUUGAUGUGUAUUUAACUUGUAUUUAUACCAAGGAAGAGUUUAUGGACGUUUAUGGUCGUUGGGGAUGAAUUCUAGCCGUUGGAAGCAUUAAUUUCGAGCUUAAAAAUUGUCUAUUAACCCAAGUCCCAAGACUUGCCAAGAUGUAUUGAAACAAAGCUGAAACAUAGUCGUUGGUAGGCUAUGUCUCGAGACAUGCAGGCCAUGUCUCGAGACAUGUAGCCUC